rnacentral:sRNA from 1 species
CCCAGCUCCACUUACCAGGCCGCGGCUACCCCGUCGCCCCCGCCACUCCCGCCACCCCGCUCUCCCAGGCUCUUCAGGAUCCAAGUUUGUAGGCCCUUUAAGGGGUCUAGUUGCCCUUUGCGGGGCCCUGGGACUUUGGUCCCAGACAGGGGGGAUCCGGAUGGCUUCCGUGCGGAUCCGAGAGGCCAAGGAGGGAGACUGUGGGGAUAUCCUGAGGUUGAUUCGGGUGAAGACUGUGGGCCGGAAACCAGGGGGUCAGAGUGGCGCGGCCAGGACGGGGACGCAGGAGGCGGGGGCAGGGGAGGGGCUCGCCUUGGGACCCCGCUCGGGGAGCAGCGGGGCCCUUCUGCUCUAAUCUAGCUUCCGUACCCACGCCUUAGGAACUAGCCGAGUUCGAAAAACUCUCGGAUCAGGUGAAGAUCAGUGAGGAAGGUGGGGGCUCAGCGCCCAGGUUCUGGCGGAGGCUGGGGAGGAAAUAAGGGAUGGGUUCCCCAGGCGACAGCUCCAGGCUGGGCAUACACCCAGGUCCUCUUUCUCUAUCUCUUUGUUACAACUCCAAUCUCGGCAGCCCUGAGAGCAGAUGGCUUUGGAGAGAAUCCUUUCUAUCACUGUUUGGUAGCAGAGAUUCUUCCAGCGCCCGGGGAGCUACUGGGUAAGAGCACCUGGUCCUUAGAAGUCCACCUCUCCAGCCGGCCUCAGAGGUCUCCCCACAGGCUCCCAGAAGCCUUACUCCCCUUUUCUCACUCUCAGGGCCCUGCGUGGUGGGCUAUGGGAUAUACUAUUUCAUCUACAGUACAUGGAAGGGACGCACCAUUUAUCUGGAGGAUAUCUAUGUGAUGCCGGAAUAUCGGGGUACUGGGCAGAAGCUGAGGCUGGGGUGGGAGCAAAGCACCCCACAGACCCCACCAUCAUCCCCUGUCCCCAGAUCCCAGCCUGUGUCCUUUUCUGAUCCCCUUCAGCUCAAACAAUAGCUAUUUUUUGCCUCUUCCUCUCCACAACAGGUCAAGGGAUUGGUUCCAAAAUAAUCAAAAAGGUGGCUGAGGUGAGGAGAGGGGUGGGGGCGACAAGUGAGGACCUGAAGAGGCAAGGGUAUAUGGAGGGGGAGACCUGGGUUGAAUGAGGGAGUGAGAAAACCUUUUUCUUUUUUGACCCCAGAAAAGUUAGUGUUGUCUUCUCCCACAGGUGGCCUUGGAUAAGGGCUGCUCCCAAUUCCGCCUGGCCGUCCUGGACUGGAACCAGAGGGCUAUGGACUUGUACAAGGCCUUAGGAGCCCAAGAUCUGACGGAAGCUGAGGGCUGGCACUUCUUCUGCUUUCAAGGAGAGGCAAUGAGAAAGUUGGCAGGAAAGUGACGCCAUCCCUAGGGGGAUCUCUCUCUUGAGUUUCUCCUUCCCCACCAGCUCAAGCACUCUUCAGAGACUACGUCCACAGACACUGACGCUGAGGCCUCCCUGGAGGAAGGAGGGUUGGGGGUGCCUAUCCUCAAGUAUUGGAAGAGCAGAAUUGAGGGAGAGACCUUUCUUCCUUGUUGAGGGUGAAAAAUAAAUAAGAAAUAAGAAUUACAUGUCCUGA